rnacentral:lncRNA from 1 species
GUUUGAAAAGCAUGCAUUCUCUGAUGGAUUGCAUUAGAUAUGACACCAAUGAGUUCUCUAGAGAUGAUAGAUUUUCUUCAAAAUCCCCCAUAACUAUCUAGAGAGCACAUAACUGAGCUCGGAGAUGAGCCAAUGGAAUCUAGAGGUUUUGUCGCUCUGAUAAUCAGUUUUCUGUGUAGACACAAGAAUGAUAAUUGGUUACUUCGUUUCCAAAGUAACUCAUACCAUGAUGAUUUGAGUACUCCUAUAGAGCAGCAAGACAGUUACAUAAUCAUCCCAGCAGACACAGAAUUUGCCAAGACAUCGAUGAUCAUAAGUAUUUAAAAUUUUUAAGAAGAGCAGAAUUGAGAACAACUGCACCAUUUUUUUUCUAGAACACGUGUUUCAAUUAGACGACCAAAGGAUGGUUGGUUG